AGUGAACGCUGGCGGUAGGCCUAACACAUGCAAGUCGAACGGCAGCACAGUAAGAGCUUGCUCUUACGGGUGGCGAGUGGCGGACGGGUGAGGAAUACAUCGGAAUCUACUUUUUCGUGGGGGAUAACGUAGGGAAACUUACGCUAAUACUGCAUACGACCUACGGGUGAAAGCAGGGGAUCUUCGGACCUUGCGCGAUUGAAUGAGCCGAUGUCGGAUUAGCUAGUUGGCGGGGUAAAGGCCCACCAAGGCGACGAUCCGUAGCUGGUCUGAGAGGAUGAUCAGCCACACUGGAACUGAGACACGGUCCAGACUCCUACGGGAGGCAGCAGUGGGGAACAUUGGACAAUGGGCGCAAGCCUGAUCCAGCCAUACCGCGUGGGUGAAGAAGGCCUUCGGGUUGUAAAGCCCUUUUGUUGGGAAAGAAAAGCAGCAGGUUAAUACCCCGCUGUUCUGACGGUACCCAAAGAAUAAGCACCGGCUAACUUCGUG
rnacentral:rRNA from 1 species